AAAGAAGGUAAAGAUUCUUUAUCACUGAAGGAAAAGAGAGAAGAAGAAGAAGAAGAAGAAGAAGAAGAAGAAGGAGAAGAAGAAAGAAGCUGUCUGUCUCAGCUGUCUGUCUCUCAGCUGUGAGUCCUGGAGGAUACAGGAUGUCCUCUGGGUGUGUUGCUGCUCGUCGCUGGACCUGCGGCUCCUCCGGCAGGAACACAGAGCUCUGACAGAACCAGAUCCAGAUCCAGGAGUGGAUUUAAUGUGGACCAGUGAAUCCAGAUUAAAGGGUGGAUUCAGACUGAAGUGGACUGAUCUGGAUUCAGGAUGUCCUCAGACCUGGUUGUGGGUCUGGUCUUUAGGAUUCUGCUGCCGCUCACUCUGACUGCAGCGUGUGUGUUGCGGUACAAUGGAUUCUCUCUGGUCUACGUCAUCCUGCUGCUGAUGCUGCCGCUGCUGCCUGACCCCGCCUCCA